AUGCCACUUCUGCAACAACUUCCUUUGAAUCAAUCCUUUAUAUCACCAUUUGCUUCCUUCUCCUCUCCUUGUCGUCACCUCUGCUCUUUCUCUCCAGGUUUCUCAGGUGUGCCUGAAGAUCUGCUGCCAGGCUUUGACUUGAAGAUUAUGCCAGAGUGGGUGUUUGUGUCGGCCGUGGCGCUGGGCAGCGUCUUAUUCCUGCUGCUAUUCGGGGUUUGUUGGUGUCAGUGCUGUCCUCACUCCUGCUGCUGCUACGUCAGCUGCUGGUGCUGCCCCGACACGUGCUGCUGCCCAAGACACCUUUACGAGGCGGGUAAAGGUAUAAAGACGGGCACCUCCACACCUGCCUACCCUCCAUACUUUGUCACCGGUGUCCCGACGAUGGUCCCAAUCGCUCCGCCUUCUCUGGUGGACAAGAUGUCCGCCGCCCCCCCCUUCGGAGGUCAGCCUGCUCACAGCAGUGCCGAUGCACGCCGUAGGGGCUCCCUACCGCGUGCCUUCCUCUCAGGAUCAGGACUCUCUCAGGGUGCUGCAGUACGUAGAGAAACAACUGGCUCACUUCAACCCGGCCAGGUCCAUCAGCCACCAGAGUAAGCCCCAUGAAGCCGUCCUGUGGAUUUGCUCUCUGCCCUCAGCCUCUUUUAAAGCAUGUUGAUGCACUCGAUAGAAAACGCAUGCUGCUCUGAAACUGUUUCUAGUUUCUUGUGGACUUUUUGGUUCCCUUCAGCUUUUCUUGGCCUCUCUCUCUUUGUACCAUUGUUCUGCUU
ensembl:lncRNA